UAACUUGUUGGGCUGAUGUCAAGUCAUAGGCUUCUGUGAGGUCAUUAGCUCAGCAACUUAAGUAUGCUGGGCUAGUGGCAAAGGAGAGGCCAGUGUGAGGUUACUGGUUCAGUUACUCUGACUGGUCUGUUAAGGCAGGGGAUUUUCUAAAGUUAUUGACUCAGGACCUCUAGCCUGAGAAGUUGACGUCAAAGGACAGGCUGCUAUGAGGUCACUGGCUUAGAAGUUCUAGCUUGCUGAGAUGAUACUCUGUAAAGAGAAUUGGAGGGAGACGUACACCAGCAGCUCCUGUAGUGAAUCCACUGCAAAGCCCCACAGCCUUUCAGUUUCAAUACCCAGUGUCAAUAGAAUCAUCUGUGAUCAAGUGGAUGAAUGGAACUGAACGUUUGUGUGGUAGGGUAUAAACCUCACACUGGGCAACAAGCUGCUCUAGGCUCAGUCAGCCCUGUCCUGUCCUGCCACACAUGCACAGCCUGGAGAAGGCGGUAAAAGGGAAGUAGAACAGUGAAGAGGACAGACCUUCAACCCACAGCUCCAGAGGGAAGAAACUUGGAAGUCACCUGGCUGGAUGCCAAUUCACAGGAAGAGGCAGGCCACCACAGAGGAAGAGCACCUGGCAGCUGCACCCCCUAGCAGACACACAACUGCAACGCCAAGCCCAGCCCAGAGGCGUAAGUGGAUGGAUGGAAGCAAAAAACGCUGAAGCUGAAGACCAAACAAAGUGCAGAGAUUUGCUUGUCAUAGAGUCCCACCACAAGAUAGAGCCUGUCACUAAUGUAUAUGUUUGGCGGACACGGUCACUUACAUGAGGCUGGAGGGUUGGUUUAUGGUUGUUCUUUAUGUCAGUUAUCCAAGGAUCAUCUUCAUGUUUGGUCUUUUAGCCAAUGUGUUUCACUAAAUCAUCACAAAGUGACUCUGCCAAGGAAAUAAUCAGCAGUACAUGAACUAAGGCAGCCGUCCAGACUUCACGCAGAUUUAGCAGGGGAAGUUGGUGAGCUACCAGUAUGAAUAUUAGUUAGUUUAAUGAUUCAUGUGUUGUCAAAGUUCACACUGCAAAUCACAUGGAAAUAUCACUGUAAGCAAUAUUUUAAGACAAGGGAACAAGAACCACAUGUUAGUGUUACCCAGCCCAAUGCAGUUUAAAAUGGCUGUGUUAAACACAGCCGUGUAAAACUCAGCCAUUAUCAUUUGAAGUGGAGCACAGUCCCACUGUAGUUCA